GACGAACCGUGCGAACGUUAUUCGGAAUCACUGGGCUUAAAGCGCGUGUAGGCGGGGUGGCACGUCGGUCGCUGAAAGCCCCCGGCUCAACCGGGGAAGUGGCGCCGAUACGACCACCCUGGAGGGACGUAGGGGGACCUGGAACUUCCGGUGGAGCGGUGAAAUGCGUUGAGAUCGGAAGGAACGCCCGUGGCGAAAGCGAGGUCCUGGACGUUUUCUGACGCUGAGACGCGAAAGCCAGGGGAGCGAACGGG
rnacentral:rRNA from 1 species